UACAGAGGGUGCAAGCGUUGUUCGGAAUUAUUGGGCGUAAAGCGCGUGUAGGCGGCAUGGCAAGUCGGGUGUGAAAGCCCUCAGCUUAACUGAGGAAGUGCGCCCGAAACUGCUGUGCUUGAGUGCCGGAGAGGAUGGCGGAAUUCCCCAAGUAGAGGUGAAAUUCGUAGAUAUGGGGAGGAACACCGGUGGCGUAGGCGGCCAUCUGGACGGUAACUGACGCUGAGACGCGAAAGCGUGGGUAGCAAAC
rnacentral:rRNA from 1 species